CCUACGGGGGGCAGCAGUGGGGAAUAUUGGGCAAUGGGCGCAAGCCUGACCCAGCAACGCCGCGUGAAGGAAGAAGGCCCUCGGGUUGUAAACUUCUUUUAUCAGGGACGAAGAAGUGACGGUACCUGAUGAAUAAGCCACGGCUAACUACGUGCCAGCAGCCGCGGUAAUACGUAGGUGGCAAGCGUUAUCCGGAUUUACUGGGUGUAAAGGGCGUGUAGGCGGGAUGGUAAGUCAGAUGUGAAAACUCAGGGCUCAACCCUGAGCCUGCAUUUGAAACUAUCGUUCUUGAGUGAUGGAGAGGCAGGCGGAAUUCCGUGUGUAGCGGUGAAAUGCGUAGAUAUACGGAGGAACACCAGUGGCGAAGGCGGCCUGCUGGACAUUAACUGACGCUGAGGCGCGAAAGCGUGGGGAGCAAACAGGAUUAGAUACCCGUG
rnacentral:rRNA from 1 species